GCAUUCAUAGAAUAAUUUCGUUGUAGAUAUCAAAUACUGUAAUCGAAAUAUGCACUCUCAGGUAUAUUGUGACGAAAUAACAGGUUUUAACACAUUCAAUUUAGUGCAUUGAGUAGAUAAACAGACGUUCUGUCGAUGACUGUACACUGAGAGUUUAUUAAAAGAUUUUCGUGCAAUGUAUAAUUUUGAAGAUUGAGUAAAAGCAAUAAAAUUUAAAAGCCACAAGGUAUAUGAAGAGGAACUGUUGUGAUGAAGAUAUGAGAAAUUGCACAUCAUUUUGAACAUGUCAUGUUUUUUAAAGUGUGGUCCCGUGAUAUGUUUCUCAUUAUAUUUAGGCUGUUUCUUUCUAAUUGUUUCGGGUCUAUCUAUGCUAGCUAAAAGGAUAAUAUUUCCUAAUCAAGGGAAAAAUUUCCCUUUCCUUACGCUAUGUUUUGCUGAUGUAUUGAUUAUUUUAUACUGUUCUGGAAUUGUAUUCUCCACAUUUGCGGCCUGUAUAGGAGACAUUGAAGACUGUGACAGCGUUUCCGAUAGGAGAAAUUCUCAACGAACACUACAAAAUUCAGGCUCAUCGUUGGAGCUCGUUGAUCUUGAAUGUAAUUUGCCGGAAAAUGAUGAACCUCCUCCGUAUGAAGACCCACCCUCUUACGCUACAGUAGCUUUCGAUGAGUUAAAACACGAGGAAGAUCAAAAAUGUGAGAGACAAAAUGUUGCUGGUGACUGUAGUAACUACAUUUGAUGUAUUGCAUUUAAAUGGAAUGAUAAUUAUUAUUAUAUAUUAUUAACUUUUUUCUCAAUGUGUAUAAGUUAAUUAAAACUGGUUCAUAUUCAAAAGAUUUCACGAAAUGUCUUAUUGAUUUGUUUCGCAUUAUUCGGAAGUAAUAUGAAUGUAACAAAUAAAAAAUAUGAUAAGUAAAUUGCAAUAAAUGAUAAGUUGUUUAUGGAUAUCAACUUUUAAAAUGCAUUUGUAUCAAAAUAUCCUGUCGAAAUUAAAAAGCUUUCUCUUC